UACGUAGGGAGCAAGCGUUGUCCGGAAUCAUUGGGCGUAAAGCGCGCGUAGGUGGCCCCAUAAGUCCGCUGUGAAAGUCAAAGGCUCAACCUUUGAAAGCCGGUGGAUACUGUGGGACUAGAGUACGGAAGAGGCGAGUGGAAUUCCUGGUGUAGCGGUGGAAUGCGCAGAUAUCAGGAGGAACACCAAUAGCGAAGGCAGCUCGCUGGAACGUUACUGACGCUGAGACGCGAAAGCGUGGGGAGCAAACAGG
rnacentral:rRNA from 1 species